AUUUAAAAAUUUGGGGGAAUGUUGUCCGGAAAAAAAGGGCAAGAGAUACGAGCUUUGAGAGAUAAUCAAAUCAGGUGAACAUCACAUUUUCAACAUUUUAUAUUGACCACCCAAAAACUGCUUCAACUAUAAACUUGUCCUGCUCACCAAAAGAUAUUUUAGAUAUAUGUAUGUGUGACAGAUUGAGCGUCAUGAGCAACUAGACAUAUGAUAUUAUUUUAUUUGUUUUACAGUUGUUCUCUUAACAUUCAUUUUCCAUUUUCUCUUAUUAUGGUGUGUGAGCGCGUGUGCGUGUGUACGUGCGUGUGUGCAAAUAAGAGCAUAUAUUAAAUCCUGACAUGCAAAGUUACUUAUAAACAUAGAUUUAAUUUUGAUUAAAAAAAAGAUUAACAACAGCAGAAAAUUAUCAAAAAGCAUGUGUUUCCUUGACUUUCCACUUAUCUAAUUUGUCAUGUAAAUUGUGUUAAGACCAUUUUCAUAACUUGUUCUGUAUGUAGAAGUUUUAAUUCAGCUAUUAAAAUUAUUUGUGAAAUAAAUACAUUUGAUAUUUCUUAUACAUCAGACAAUAUAUUUACAUAGUUAUAUGCAUUGCAUGUGGAUGCAAGAUUGUCGUCAUGCAAAAAAGUAAUUACUGUUUUCAGCUUAUGUGAAUUUUAAUUCAUUUCAAAAUGUAUGCUCGUGUAUUUGACUUGAAAUAAAGUUUGACAAUUUUACAAAUAUAA